rnacentral:rRNA from 1 species
UACAGAGACUGCGAGCGUUAUUCGGAUUCACUGGGCGUAAAGGGUGCGCAGGUGGCUAAGUGUGUUAGGCGUGAAAGCCCGGGGCUUAACCCCGGAAUUGCACCUAAAACUACUUGGCUAGAGCAUUGGAGAGGGGAGCAGAAUUCAUGGUGUAGCAGUGAAAUGCGUAGAUAUCAUGAGGAAUACCAGAGGCGAAGGCGGCUCCCUGGACAAUUGCUGACGCUCAGGCACGAAAGCGUGGGGAGCAAAAGGG